UUGUACUAGUCUGGCAACCCCGUAUUCGCUGGUGGCGCGAGCAAUAUAAAUAAGUUAAAUGUGGGAAAAAUAUACAAAGUGCGUAAUCGUGGAUAAAUGUACAAACGGAGACUCCUGGACUUCUGUGUGUGUCUGGCGUAAACAGCGGCAAGCCUGUAGCAGAUGAACAGCUGCUGGACUGUCUGGUUGCAACGAGGAGGAUGUCUGGACCCAAGGCUUCCGACAAAGGGACGUGGCACUUGACGCUCACAAGGGCAUAUGCGUCAAGAUGCCUUCAGGGACGGACUCACCGCGCUCCCGAUGUCUGGUGUGCACACUCUGUGUCUCUGUGUGUGCCUGCCUGCGUCGACUCAAAGUGUGUGUUGCUGCGCUGUGUGUGGCUGCGCUUGCGUGUUGUGCUUGUAGCUUGUUGUUCGUGUAAAUUACGGCUGUGGCUGCUGCGGCUGAAGUGUAUUGCGUGUCGAUGUUUGUCACCAUUCGUUUCUACUUUUAUAUUUUUUUAUUUGUUCAAAAUUC